UACAGAGGGGGCAAGCGUUGUUCGGAAUUACUGGGCGUAAAGGGCGCGUAGGCGGCCUGUUAAGUCGAACGUGAAAUCCCUGGGCUCAACCCAGGAACUGCGUCCGAUACUGGCAAGCUUGAAUUCGGGAGAGGGAUGCGGAAUUCCAGGUGUAGCGGUGAAAUGCGUAGAUAUCUGGAGGAACACCGGUGGCGAAGGCGGCAUCCUGGACCGAUAUUGACGCUGAGGCGCGAAAGCCAGGGGAGCAAACGGG
rnacentral:rRNA from 1 species